rnacentral:rRNA from 1 species
CUAACACAUGCAAGUCGAGCGCCAAAACACUUCGGUGUGAGUAGAGCGGCGGACGGGUGAGUAACGCGUAAGAAUCUACCUAGUAGUGGGGGACAACUCGAGGAAACUCGAGCUAAUACCGCAUACGCCCUACGGGGGAAAGCGGGGGACCUUCGGGCCUCGCGCUAUUAGAUGAGCUUGCGUUGGAUUAGCUUGUUGGUGAGGUAAUGGCUCACCAAGGCUACGAUCCAUAGCUGGUCUGAGAGGAUGAUCAGCCACACCGGGACUGAGACACGGCCCGGACUCCUACGGGAGGCAGCAGUGGGGAAUAUUGCGCAAUGGGCGAAAGCCUGACGCAGCCAUGCCGCGUGUGUGAAGAAGGCCUUAGGGUUGUAAAGCACUUUCAAUUGGGAGGAAAAGUUAACGACUAAUACUCGUUAGCCUUGACGUUACCUUUAGAAGAAGCACCGGCUAACUCCGUGCCAGCAGCCGCGGUAAUACGGAGGGUGCAAGCGUUAAUCGGAAUUACUGGGCGUAAAGCGCGCGUAGGCSGCUUUUUAAGUCGGAUGUGAAAGCCCCGGGCUCAACCUGGGAACUGCAUCCGAUACUGGAAGGCUAGAGUGCGAGAGAGGAG